rnacentral:misc_RNA from 1 species
AAGUCGUAACAAGGUUUCCGUAGGUGAACCUGCGGAAGGAUCAUUAACACGAAUUAUUAUUAUUCUAAAUCCAAUAUCAAAAACCAAACGUGAACUUUUUCCCUCCCUAUAUACAAUAGCAAUAGCAUUGCUACUGUAUGUAGGCUAACCUCAUAUUUAAUCUAUUUAACACUAUAAACUUCAACUAGGUUUUAAUCAUGUCUUAAUGCAUUAAAACAUCUAAACUAAAAAAGACAAGGUUAUUCGAAAGAGUAAACUUUAACUUUUUUCGAUUUACGAAAAAUUUAAAAGAACAACUCUUAACAAUGGAUAUCUUGGUUCUC